rnacentral:tRNA from 3 species
AGGGCUAUAGCCAAGCGGUAAGGCAGUAGGCUCUGACCCUACGAUCGUUGGUUCAAAUCCAGCUAGCCCUGCCA